rnacentral:rRNA from 1 species
AUUGAACGCUGGCGGCAGGCUUAACACAUGCAAGUCGAGCGGGGUGAUGGUGCUUGCACUAUCACUUAGCGGCGGACGGGUGAGUAAUGCUUAGGAAUCUGCCUAUUAGUGGGGGACAACAUCUCGAAAGGGAUGCUAAUACCGCAUACGUCCUACGGGAGAAAGCAGGGGAUCACUUGUGACCUUGCGCUAAUAGAUGAGCCUAAGUCGGAUUAGCUAGUUGGUGGGGUGAAGGCCUACCAAGGCGACGAUCUGUAGCGGGUCUGAGAGGAUGAUCCGGCACACUGGGACUGAGACACGGCCCAGACUCCUACGGGAGGCAGCAGUGGGGAAUAUUGGACAAUGGGGGGAACCCUGAUCUAGCCAUGCCGCGUGUGUGAAGAAGGCCUUAUGGUUGUAAAGCACUUUAAGCGAGGAGGAGGCUCUUUUGGUUAAUACCCAAGAUGAGUGGACGUUACUCGCAGAAUAAGCACCGGCUAACUCUGUGCCAGCCGCCGCAGUAA